UACAGAGACUGCAAGCGUUAUUCGGAUUCACUGGGCGUAAAGGGUGCGCAGGCGGUCGGGUGUGUCAGAUGUGAAAUCCCGAGGCUCAACCUCGGAACUGCGUCUGAAACUACACGACUAGAGUACUGGAGAGGGUAACGGAAUUCACGGUGUAGCAGUGAAAUGCGUAGAUAUCGUGAGGAACACCAGAGGCGAAGGCGGUUACCUGGACAGUUACUGACGCUCAGGCACGAAAGCAUGGGGAGCAAAAGGG
rnacentral:rRNA from 1 species